AGCACGAAUAGGAUCGGAGUUUCAUUCAUUCGAAUGAAAUUGCGAUCAGAAACAAAGUCCCGAAUUGCGUUCUAACACAAAUGGAGAAACUGUUCUCAUUCUGUUAGGACGCAAUUCGGCAGUUUUGCCGGCGUUCUGUCUAAGUGACAGGACGUUCAGCAAUACUGACAGGAAGCAUCGCAGGAACAGGGAGGAAAGAUAAGGAUUAUGGGAAAAUUGCUCUGACCACCGGAAACGAAACACACUUUGCACCUCCGCUGGUCAUGGCUUAGGAAAACCCCAGAAGAGAAAUAGUCCCUACUUUGUCUUAAUUUUUAAAGAAAACUAGAGGAGACAGGAAGAAAUAAAGAACAGAUCCCGAGUGAGGGAGAGAAGAGGAAUCGAUUGGGGAAAGGUAAGUUCGGCAUGACAGUGCCGCUUUAAUGUACACAGAUACACACUAACACACAAUGCACACAGACACACGUGGACACACUGACACAGAUACACAUACACGCAGAGACAGGAGGUGAGGGUGACAGUGUGGGAGGGAGUGUGUGUGUGCUGGUAACAGGGUGAGGGGGCAGUGUGAGAAAGGGUUACAGUGGGCGGGCAGGCGGAGAAAUGGUUACAGUGUGGGGGGCAGAGGGAGAAAGGGUUAUAGUGUAUGGGACAAGGGAAGAAAGGGUUACAGUGUGGGGGACGGGGAGAAAAGGC